rnacentral:rRNA from 1 species
AGUUGUCCCACCUGACUCCAUACCGAACUCAGAAGUGAAAAGCUGUAACGUCGAUGGUAGUGUGGGGAUUCCCCAUGUGAGAGUAGAGCAUCGUCGGGG